GAUGAACGCUGGCGGCGUGCUUAACACAUGCAAGUCGAACGAAGCACUUUAUUUGAUUUCCUUCGGGACUGAUUAUUUUGUGACUGAGUGGCGGACGGGUGAGUAACGCGUGGGUAACCUGCCUUGUACAGGGGGAUAACAGUUGGAAACGGCUGCUAAUACCGCAUAAGCGCACAGCAUCGCAUGAUGCAGUGUGAAAAACUCCGGUGGUAUAAGAUGGACCCGCGUUGGAUUAGCUAGUUGGUGAGGUAACGGCCCACCAAGGCGACGAUCCAUAGCCGACCUGAGAGUGUGACCGGCCACAGUGGGACUGAGACACGGCCCAAACUCCUACGGGAGGCAGCAGUGGGGAAUAUUGCACAAUGGGCGAAAGCCUGAUGCAGCGACGCCGCGUGAGCGAAGAAGUAUUUCGGUAUGUAAAGCUCUAUCAGCAGGGAAGAUAAUGACGGUACCUGACGAAGAAGCACCGGCUAAAUACGUG
rnacentral:rRNA from 1 species